rnacentral:lncRNA from 1 species
AGCGGCCACCACCAUCUUGGGAGCUCUAAGAACAAAGACCAUCUGCUCCCCAAGUGAUGAUAACACAUGUCAAGGUCAUGACCACUGGGUGAGGGUAACCAACAAGGCUGCAUCUAACAGACUCCUGAAAAAUUAAGCACCUGAUCCUGCGACAUUCUGGAUCACCAUGGCCAUGCAUCUCGGACAGACAAUAGCAUCACCUCCCAGUUCUCAGAAGGAAACUCUGGGAAUGAACACUGGGCUCAAAACCAAGGCUUUU